AGAAUCAACGCUGGCGGCGUGCCUAACACAUGCAAGUCGCACGAGAAAGGGGAGCAAUCCCUGAGUACAGUGGCGCACGGGUGAGUAACACGUGAAUAAUCUACCUCCGAGUGGGGAAUAACUGAGAGAAAUCUUAGCUAAUACCGCAUAAUACCCACGGGUCAAAGCAGCAAUGCGCUUGGAGAGGAGUUCGCGGCAGAUUAGUUAGUUGGCGGGGUAAUGGCCCACCAAGACGAUGAUCUGUAUCCGGCCUGAGAGGGCGCACGGACACACUGGAACUGAAACACGGUCCAGACUCCUACGGGAGGCAGCAGUGGGGAAUUUUGCGCAAUGGGGGAAACCCUGACGCAGCAACGCCGCGUGGAGGAUGAAGCCCCUUGGGGUGUAAACUCCUUUCGAUCGGAAAGAUAAUGACGGUACCGAUAUAAGAAGCCCGGCUAACUUCGUGCCAGCAGCCGC
rnacentral:rRNA from 1 species